rnacentral:rRNA from 1 species
UGGGGAAUCUUGGACAAUGGGGGCAACCCUGAUCCAGCCAUGCCGCGUGAGUGAUGAAGGCCUUAGGGUCGUAAAGCUCUUUCGCCUGUGAAGAUAAUGACGGUAGCAGGUAAAGAAACCCCGGCUAACUCCGUGCCAGCAGCCGCGGUAAUACGGAGGGGGUUAGCGUUGUUCGGAAUUACUGGGCGUAAAGCGCACGUAGGCGGACCAGAAAGUUGGGGGUGAAAUCCCGGGGGGCUCAACCCCGGAACUGCCUCCAAAACUAUUGGUCUAGAGUUCGAGAGAGGUGAGUGGAAUUCCAAGUGUAGAGGUGAAAUUCGUAGAUAUUUGGAGGAACACCAGUGGCGAAGGCGGCUCACUGGCUCGAUACUGACGCUGAGGUGCGAAAGUGUGGGGAGCAAACAGGAUUAGAUACCCUGGUAGUCCACACCGUAAAACGAUGAAUGCCAGUCGUCGGGUAGCAUGCUAUUCGGUGACACACCUAACGGAUUAAGCAUUCCGCCUGGGGAGUACGGUCGCAAGAUUAAAA